GGAGCGUAGCGUCAUAUAACGCCUUCCACAGGAAAAGAAAAAAAAUAAUUAAAUAAAUAAAUCCUGCGGGUUGUCCUCACAUGGCCUCGUAGCCUCAAGUCUAAGGGUUGGGGAAUAAACAAUGAUAACCAUAUUAAAGGAACCCCCUCCCCUCCCUUUUGUUUUUCUCCUAUGUCAGCCGGGAAUGGUUGCGUCCAAGGGCGGUGAGAUAAGGUCUCUGAACCCUCAGACUGCGCCCAGGGUGUUAUAGGCUGCUGGGGGCACCUUAUUGCC